rnacentral:rRNA from 1 species
UUAAAUUGAAGAGUUUGAUCAUGGCUCAGAUUGAACGCUGGCGGCAGGCCUAACACAUGCAAGUCGAACGGUAACAGAAAGCAGCUUGCUGCUUUGCUGACGAGUGGCGGACGGGUGAGUAAUGUCUGGGAAACUGCCUGAUGGAGGGGGAUAACUACUGGAAACGGUAGCUAAUACCGCAUAACGUCGCAAGACCAAAGAGGGGGACCUUCGGGCCUCUUGCCAUCGGAUGUGCCCAGAUGGGAUUAGCUUGUUGGUGGGGUAACGGCUCACCAAGGCGACGAUCCCUAGCUGGUCUGAGAGGAUGACCAGCCACACUGGAACUGAGACACGGUCCAGACUCCUACGGGAGGCAGCAGUGGGGAAUAUUGCACAAUGGGCGCAAGCCUGAUGCAGCCAUGCCGCGUGUAUGAAGAAGGCCUUCGGGUUGUAAAGUACUUUCAGCGGGGAGGAAGGGAGUAAAGUUAAUACCUUUGCUCAUUGACGUUACCCGCAGAAGAAGCACCGGCUAACUCCGUGCCAGCAGCCGCGGUAAUACGGAGGGUGCAAGCGUUAAUCGGAAUUACUGGGCGUAAAGCGCACGCAGGCGGUUUGUUAAGUCAGAUGUGAAAUCCCCGGGCUCAACCUGGGAACUGCAUCUGAUACUGGCAAGCUUGAGUCUCGUAGAGGGGGGUAGAAUUCCAGGUGUAGCGGUGAAAUGCGUAGAGAUCUGGAGGAAUACCGGUGGCGAAGGCGGCCCCCUGGACGAAGACUGACGCUCAGGUGCGAAAGCGUGGGGAGCAAACAGGAUUAGAUACCCUGGUAGUCCACGCCGUAAACGAUGUCGACUUGGAGGUUGUGCCCUUGAGGCGUGGCUUCCGGAGCUAACGCGUUAAGUCGACCGCCUGGGGAGUACGGCCGCAAGGUUAAAACUCAAAUGAAUUGACGGGGGCCCGCACAAGCGGUGGAGCAUGUGGUUUAAUUCGAUGCAACGCGAAGAACCUUACCUGGUCUUGACAUCCACAGAACUUUCCAGAGAUGAGAUUGUGCCUUCGGGAACUGUGAGACAGGUGCUGCAUGGCUGUCGUCAGCUCGUGUUGUGAAAUGUUGGGUUAAGUCCCGCAACGAGCGCAACCCUUAUCCUUUGUUGCCAGCGGUCCGGCCGGGAACUCAAAGGAGACUGCCAGUGAUAAACUGGAGGAAGGUGGGGAUGACGUCAAGUCAUCAUGGCCCUUACGACCAGGGCUACACACGUGCUACAAUGGCGCAUACAAAGAGAAGCGACCUCGCGAGAGCAAGCGGACCUCAUAAAGUGCGUCGUAGUCCGGAUUGGAGUCUGCAACUCGACUCCAUGAAGUCGGAAUCGCUAGUAAUCGUGGAUCAGAAUGCCACGGUGAAUACGUUCCCGGGCCUUGUACACACCGCCCGUCACACCAUGGGAGUGGGUUGCAAAAGAAGUAGGUAGCUUAACCUUCGGGAGGGCGCUUACCACUUUGUGAUUCAUGACUGGGGUGAAGUCGUAACAAGGUAACCGUAGGGGAACCUGCGGUUGGAUCACCUCCUUACCUUAAAGAAGC